rnacentral:rRNA from 1 species
UUAACAAAAACAUGUCCUUUUGAUUUUUAUUUAAGGUCUAAUCUGCUCAAUGAUAUUUAAAUUGCCGCAGUAUUUUAACUGUGCGAAGGUAGCAUAAUAAUUAGUUUCUUGAUUAGAAGCUGGAAUGAAUGAUUGGACGAAAAAAUUUCUGUCUCAUUUUAAUGUUUUAUUGAAUUUUAUUUUUAAGUUAAAAAGCUUAAAUAAUUAUGAAAGACGAGAAGACCCUAUAGAGUUUAAUAUCAAAGUUUAAUAUUAUCUUAGAAAUUAAUUUUAAUCUUUAGUAUUUAGUUGGGGUGACUUGGAGAUUUAUUUAAUUCUCUAAAUUUUUAAUUGAUGAUUAUUAAUUUUUUGAUCUGUAAAUUAUAAAUUUAAAAAUAAUUACCUUAGGGAUAACAGCGUAAUUUUUCUUAAAAGUUCUUAUUUAAAGAAGAUUUUGCGACCUCGAUGUUGGAUUAAAAUAAAUUUUUGGUGCAGUAACUUAAAAAUUAGGUCUGUUCGACCUUUAAAAUUUUACAUGAUCUGAGUUUAAACCGGUGUAAGCCAGGUUGGAUUCUAUCUUUAGUAAAUUAAUACAUUUUAGUACGAAAGGACCAAGUGUUUAUUAAAUAUUAAUUG